GUCCCGUGUUAACCGCCUCGGCGCUGCGGGAGUCUGAAGCUCCGGGAACGGGACUCACCGGAAUGUGCACACGCAGUGACCGUCUCUUCAGGCUGGGGUUCUUUUUGCCGCCGCUCCCGCCAGGGCUGGAAACCUCUUUCUUCUUCUUGGUGUCCAUGGCUGCGCUUCCCAUAACUUUAGCCAGAAGUUAAUUCCGGUGCCUCGUCCCCGGGGUUCGGUCCCCUCGCUGUCUCCUAGGGCUGCUGCCGUUACACGGGAGCCGCGCGCUCUUUAAGACUGUCCUUCCACCCUGAAAACACCUCGUGGGGACUUCCGCGGGGAGGGCGGGUGGCGCAGGUAACACGCGGGGCGGCACCCGAGGGGCUGGCGGUCUGUGGGAUGCCGGGUCGGAGCGACCUCUUCCUCCUACCAAAUCAUCGAGUGCAGAGUGAGAACCGCGCUGCUUUUGAUUACGCGUGGCAGAAGUCUCGUGCUGGGUGACAAAGUUUUCCUCCUCCUGCAAAGCGAAGCAACAUUUUCCACCUCUCUAGCUCCUCCCACAGAUUCCCAGAGUGUCUCUGUUUAGGUCCGAUCCCCGGAAACACACACCCACACCCCAACCACGCUACAAUUGAAACCCCGGGCGUUAAGAGGCUCGGGUGAUUCUCACUUGCUUCGCACAACGCCGCCGCCCUGAGGCGUGGGGACCCGCAUCCCGAUCCAGAGAGGCCUGUGGCAGGACUUUGGAGCCUUGGAAUCCUUAAUCUAAAUAUUGGGACCUGAGAUGGCUCAGUAUAUAAAAGUACUUGUGAGCAAGCCUGACAACCUGAGUUCAGUUCUCAGAACCCAUGUGAAAAGCUGUGUGCAGUGAUAUGCAUCUGUAAUCCCAGCACUCCUGUGAGCCAGUACUUAGUGCAGCAGCAGUAACAAGAAAGACCCUGCUUCAAACACAAAAUAAAAUCUGAGGUGGAAGGAGAGAA